rnacentral:lncRNA from 1 species
CUCCUAUAGACCAAACCCAAAAUAUUCUGCUAAGUUCUCAGCUUGCGUAGCCAUAAGAUAUUUCUCAUUUUUUGCUCUCCAGUUAAAAGGAAAAAAAAAAAAAAUGUUGCCCACAGUAGGCAAGCUGAGUACUGAGCCCAAAACUACGAGAGUUUAUAACACAGACUAGAUUGUGAUGAAUUAUUCAGAAACCCAAAUGUGCUGUACCGUGCAAUGACAGAAGCUAAAUGAAAAUGUGCCAUUUUGGGAUAUGCAUGCAACAGAUGUAAAUAGCAAGGCUGUAAGACUAUAUAUGCAAAAUAUUUGCAAAUAGGUAAACACUUCUGUUCAAAACAACAGUAGAAUUGCAGGAAACAAGUAGAAAGCACAAAGGAGGCGGAAUAUCAGUGGCAGAUGCUGGUCUUUAGGGUUAUACAACACACAUUGCUCCACACCAUCCAGGAGAGCAAAAUCUGGUUCUCUAGGACAGAGGCACCAGCAGUUAAGGAUGCUGCAUUGCAUGAUUAACCGAUGCCGUAACUGGAAACCUCAUCCUGAAUCAUCAAGCCGUGGUUAAAGAGCAAGGACCAAGUACGAGCCCACCCAAGUUUUAGAUAGCUGGGGGAUGUGCAUUUCCCCUUAAGCCUUCUUGAUCUGCUAAGAAACACAGAGAGGGACUUACCUUUCCUUGCUGACAAACAGGGGCCGGGCCGGGUGCGGACACCGCCUGCAGACAUCGCCCCAGCUCCACCCUGGGCAGCAAUCACUGCCCUAAUGCUCCUCUCCAGGCCCUCCCCGUCGCACCAGCACACCCCCCCGUCGGAUCUGCGGGGCACUGUGGGGUGGCUGUGUAGGACGUGGGCACGCGGCAGUGCCCGCAGGAAGGGUCCGUGACCCCGCAAGGAUGGCGCUGCCCUGACACUGCAGGCCUGAGCAUGGGCUUGCACAUGGGAAGCCUCUUGGAAGUACACGUUAUUAGAAUAUGGGUGGUGACUGAGGGCCCCCAAAAGGGAAUUUUUUGACUGAAAAAUGUGGUUGUGUCCAGGACUGGAAUGCCAUUAAAGUCCGAUCUCUAUGAAAUGUUGCAUGUGUCCAUGAUUUAUCUAUAUGGGCUUUGAAUUCUUGAGGCUACAGCUUUUAAUCAGUGCUAUUUGCAUUACAUAACAUCUUUUAUUUUCAGUCUGAGUUUUGUUUUAAUGAGUGUUUUGUUAAACACAUCAAUGGCGACUCUUCUCUGCCA